CGUGAGGGAAAGGUGAAAAGAACCCCGGGAGGGGAGUGAAAUAGUACCUGAAACCUUGUGCUUACAAGCAGUUACAGCCCGUUAAAGGGUGGUAGCGUACUUUUUGUAGAACGGUCCGGCGAGUUAUAGUCACUAGCGAGCUUAAGACAUUCAGUGUCGGAGGCGUAGGGAAACCGAGUCUGAAGAGGGCGUAUGAAGUUAGUGGCCAUAGACCCGAAACCAUGUGACCUAGCCAUGAGCAGGAUGAAGUGGAGGUAAAGCUCCAUGGAGGUCCGAACGCACGUUCGUUGCAAUGACCGGCGAUGACUUGUGGCUAGCGGUGAAAUUCCAAUCGAACUUGGAGAUAGCUGGUUCUCCCCGAAAUAGCUUUAGGGCUAGCGUUGGGAAUGAGUUUAGCGGAGGUAAAGCACUGAAUGAGCUAGGGGGCGCAAGCUUACUGAACUCUAUCAAACUAAGAAUGCCGCAUAAAUGCUUCCCAGCAGUCAGACUGCGAGUAAUAAAAUCCGUGGUCAAAAGGGUAACAGCCCAGACCCACAGCUAAGGUCCCCAAUACAUGCUAAGUGGAAAACGAUGUGAGAUUGCAUAAACAACCAGGAUGUUGGCUUAGAGGCAGCCACUCGUUCAAAGAGUGCGUAAUAGCUCACUGGUCGAGUGAUCUUGCGCGGAAAAUUUAACGGGGCUAAGCAUGUAACCGAAGCUUGGGAUUGCGCUUUGCGCAGUGGUAGGGGAGCGUCGUGUACGGGGUGAAGUACGAUCGAGAGGACGUGUGGACUGUACACGAGUGAGAAUGCCGGAAUGAGUAGCGAGAAUUAUGUGGGAAUCAUAAUGGCCGAAAAUCUAAGGUUUCUUGGGGAAGGUUCGUCCGCCCAAGGUAAGCCGGGAGCUAAGGCGAGGCCGAAAGGCGUAGUCGAUGCACAUACGGUUGAAAUUCCGUAGCCACCUUAUCGUUAAAAGCUGACACAUAGAGAUAGCCGAACCCGGGCGUUGGUUGACCCGGGCGAAAGGGACCGAACUACAGUAGGGAAGUCGGCGAUGCUCUGUGGCGAGAAAAGGCGAAGAUAGGGUGCCCGUACCGCAAACCGACACAGGUAGAUGAGGAGAGAAUCCUAAGGCCAACGGGAGAAAGGUUGUUAAGGAACUCGGCAAAAUUGCCCCGUAACUUCGGGAGAAGGGGCGCCCUCGAAAGAGGGCCGCAGUGAAAAGGCCCAAGCGACUGUUUACCAAAAACACAGGUCUCUGCUAAAUCGAAAGAUGACGUAUAGGGGCUGACGCCUGCCCGGUGCUGGAAGGUUAAGAGGAGGACUUAGCGCAAGCGAAGGUCUGAAUUUAAGCCCCAGUAAACGGCGGCCGUAACUAUAACGGUCCUAAGGUAGCGAAAUUCCUUGUCAGGUAAGUUCUGACCCGCACGAAUGGCGUAACGAUUUGGGCACUGUCUCAACAGCCUACCCGGCGAAAUUGUAGUACCGGUGAAGAUGCCGGUUACCCGCAACUAGACGGAAAGACCCCAUGGAGCUUUACUGCAGCUUAAUACUGAGAUUCGGUAAUUCAUGUACAGGAUAGGUGGGAGACUUAGAAACAGGGUCGUCAGGCACUGCGGAGUCACCCUUGGGAUACCACCCUUGGAUUGCUGGGUUUCUAACCUGCGGCCAUGAAUCUGGUCGGGGGACACUGUUAGGCGGGCAGUUUGACUGGGGCGGUCGCCUCCUAAAAAGUAGCGGAGGCGCUCAAAGCUUGGCUCAGCAUGGAUGGAAAUCAUGCAAUGAGUGUAAACGUAUAAGCCAAGUUGACUGCGAGACCGACGGGUCGAGCAGGUACGAAAGUAGGAGUUAGUGAUCCGGUGGUAUGUGAGUGGAAAUGCCAUCGCUCAACGGAUAAAA
rnacentral:rRNA from 1 species